CUCCAGGAAAAAAUAUUUAUUUAAAUCUCCGUUUGAUGUCGUUGUUGUUUUUGUAAUUAUUUUAAAUCAAAGGAAAACAAACACGAAAAUUAAACAAUAGUUGUAUUGAUUCUAAAUAAGAUGAUAAAAAAUAUACGAAUCGAUAUAUUUAUUAAAAAACCAUUUUGUUAAUAAUAAUUACACUUAAUGAAUAACUAAUAUCCUGCUGAAGCGGUCACUAGGUACUGGUCAAAUAUUUACCUAUUGAAUUGACUCCCUCUAUAUUGUAUUCGUUAAUAAACUGUCCAUUUAAUUAUACAAUCAAAACAUUAACUUCUAUAAUUUCUGUAAUUCUAUAUACUCCUACAAGUUAUAGUUAACUACCCAUAUAGUGCAAAUAAUUAAUAACAAAUUUAAAACCAAAAAAUUCAUUACUAAAAGUAGAAUACAAUUUAUUGAAAUUGAAUUUUAUGUAUUCGUAAAAUUAUAAUACAUAAGUACCUAUCUACGUACUUUGAGAAUCACUAGUUUAAAAUGUUAUCAGGACCCGAUUCAAUAAUACAUUAAUUCGCGGGAGCCACGAUUCGAUUGGUCGGUGUGGUGAUUUUCCUGACAUUUGGCGCCAGUCAACGGUAAUAUGGUAAUAUUGUUCCGUGCCGUUCGUCAAUACAAACCCCUUCAUAGAGCAUAGGUACGAAAUUUGUUCUGUGUGUGUGUGUGUGUUAUUUAAGAAUUUGCGACCACCAUUGUCAAUCCAAUCACUGUAACCUCAACAAUGUUAUUGUGUAAAUAAAACCGCAGGUAUAAUUUUAUAUUUUUAACUGUGUACUGCACAUUUCACAUAGCGUUCGUUAUUAAUAUCACGUCGUUUUGUCGGGAUAUUUGUUUUAAUAAUCUUUCCAUUUCAUAGGUUCGUCUCGUUGUUUUACACCGUAUGGGUGUACCUACGCCGUGAUUAAAUAAUUUUAUUUGCCUAUUUAUUCGCGUAGGAAAUUAUUACGCGUCGGUACGUUUCCAUACAUGUAACUGACCUGCAUAAUGAUAAUAUUAUCAUUGUAUCAUAAUGUUAAUAUUAUCAUUUCCAGUUGUGAAUAUUAUUCAAUUUAAAAUAUUAUGCUAAAAUAGUAAUAUGAUCAAAUUGUUAAUUUUUUAUUUUCUUAGUUUUACCGGGGUUAUUAUUAUUUCAUGGUUACAAUUAUUAGUCAGUGAAGACUGGAUUCAAAUAAAUAUCUGUUAUGAUAGUAAUUUGCAACGCGUUCUGUUAAAUCAAAACCAUGGUUAGCCCAAAACCCAUAUACAUACAGAACAAGUAAUAAUACACUCGUGCAUAUAUAAAUGAUGUGUGUUAUUAUAUUAUUAUGUAAAUUUUAAUUUUGUCAUUACACAUUUUAUAAAGUACGGUGUCUGUAUAUAAAAUCCGAUUACACAAAUUGUAAAUCAAAUUUUCGUACUUUUUAUUUUAUUUAUACAUAUAUCAAAUUUAGAGAUAACGGUUAUUUUAAAUUAUUUAUGUAAGUAGUUUAUAUUGUAUUUAUAUAAUUUCUAUCAAUGUUACAACAAAAAAAAAAAAAAAAAAUAAAAAAUUAUAAUUGUAAACUACUUAAUUUAUUAAAUGUUGUUAUUGUAACUAUAACACACUGUUAAGAAGAUAUUAUUAUUAUAAUUAUUAAAAUUAUUAUCAUAUUAUUAUUAUUAUUAUUAUUAUUAUUAUUAUUAUUAUUAUUAUUAUUAU